AUUGCCUGUAUGGUAUUUGUGCAUCUUCCAGACUUGGUGACUCUCCUGCGGAAAUCAGGUGCAGCUUCAUACUUCACUGCGAUCAUUGCAAUCAUGGCGAUUUGAAAGAGGAUACCAAGCAGGCCGUGUGACGUCCUGGUGGCAGCUGAGCGCCUCUUUGGCAUUAUGCAGCAUUCAAUGCAAUUUCAUGACAGCACAAGGGCAGCUGGACAGACCCCGUCCCUGUGUAAAGGGGUUUAGAAACAAAUGGAUCUCUAAAA